rnacentral:rRNA from 1 species
AGCAGCCGCGGUAAUUCCAGCUCCAAUAGCGUAUAUUAAAGUUGUUGCAGUUAAAAAGCUCGUAGUUGAAUUUCGGGGUUAGUAGAUUGGUCAUGCCUCUGGUAUGAACUGGUCUUACUGAUUCCUCCUUUCUGAUGAACCGUAAUGCCAUUAAUUUGGUGUUGCGGGGAAACUGGACUGUUACUUUGAAAAAUUAGAGUGUUUAAAGCAGGCUAACGCUUGAAUACAUUAGCAUGGAAUAAUAAAAUAGGACGUUCGAUCUUAUUUUGUUGGUUUCUAGGAUUGACGUAAUGAUUAAUAGGGAUAGUUGGGGGCAUUAGUAUUCAAUUGUCAGAGGUGAAAUUCUUGGAUUUAUUGAAGACUAACUACUGCGAAAGCAUUUGCCAAGGAUGUUUUCAUUAAUCAAGAACGAAAGUUAGGGGAUCGAAGACGAUCAGAUACCGUCGUAGUCUUAACCAUAAACUAUGCCGACUAGGGAUCGGAUGAUGUUAAUUUUUUAAUGACUCAUUCGGCGCCUUAC